GAAACUUGUUGGGUGACAGCCCGUUAGGAAACCAAGCUGCGGCGGUCUGCAAGAGGGAUCCGCCGGAGCUGAACCCGUACUCUCUGCGGGCUCUGGAUUUAACCCCUCCCUGAGCCAAGAAGUCUUCAAAGUACUUGCGCUUUCACGUACGCAGACUUGGCCUAUUAGUCAAGGACCUUCUCAGCCACCGUAGCGGGUGGGAGGGGCUUGGCCUGAGCCUCCGGGAAGUCUGCAGCGACUUGAAUACUGUCCCUGUCACUGGGACGAAUUCCGGAAUAGAGUCCAGGUUUCCUAAGGCUUCUUCUCUGCCUGACCUCGCGUGACUGCCGAAUUCUGAGGCCGUCCCAGGGAUCUGUCUCUGUUUGUAGCGGUGAAUGGUGCUCUCCUCAUGGUAGUCCAGGCUUCCCAAGACCCAAGCCUUAAAUGAUCCAAGGACCGGCGCCUUUGGACAUUCCUUAAUACAUUACUUCCGCCAAUCUGUAAUGCGUCUGAGGGCAUUUCCUUGGGCCCAUGAAAAUACAAUGAAACCUUUACUUAAGGAAAUAAACACCCUGACUCCACGGAUCUGGCGCAUAAGCCCCAGUGUUUGGAAUCGAACGGGCUUAUUUUUAUUUAUUUUACCAGCCAAUUUAAAACAGUUACUAAAUUGAAAUCAGAAGUGCACUGAGCUCAUUCAUAGUUUAUUUCAUCACCUUGUUGUGUGGAUUAUAUUUUCUAAACGUUAAUCCUCGACAAUCUGCCACCUAGAGAGUCUUCCUUCCACAAAGAAAAACAGCUUUCUAACCCCGCAUUUUGUUUUUCGCGUGGCGCUAGGAUAGUCUUCAAAUACAAAUGUGAUCAUGGCAACAUUCUGCUCAAAACUCUUGAUGUGGUUUUUCAGUUACUCUUAGAAUAAAUAUAGUUACGGCUUUGAAGUCCUCUGCCCAACUUUCUCGCCCCUUCACUAUACACUGAACUGGAGUUACAGUAAGCUUUUUUCCCUUAGUUCUCCCACAAUUUUUUUUUUUUUGUACGUGCGGAGAUUAUUCUCCCCAUCCUCCGUCCCUGUCUACCCCCACACACCCUUUACCUGUUGAGACUCUACUUAUUUGUCAGAUCUCAAGAAUCAUUUACUUAGAGGAACUAUUUCUUGACCACCCUUAACUGGAUGGAGCAAGUCUGUUACAUUUGCUGGUAGUUUCAUGUAGCUCUCAGUAGCACCUAUCAGUUCAAUUUCACAAUUAAAAAAUUAUUUUUAUUGUCUCCUAGAUUGAAAACUUCAGGAAGCACAACUGGUGUAUUUUUUGCCAGCAUCUAGCAGAUGUAAGCCUGGCACACAGUUUAUCAAUAAAUGUUAAGGGCAUUAAUAAGUGUUGAGACAAACCUUAUUUGAAAAAUUACCUCUUAAUUUGUAUUGUGAAAGAAAGAGGCCAAACUCCCUAAACUAACUAGCUAUAGGAAGUUUAUGAUAAGAGUAGGUUAUUGGUAGUACUUGGUGGGUAUUCUCCUUAAGAAGGUCUAAGAGUGGGGUGCCUGGGUGGCUCAGUUGGUUAAGCAUCUGACUUGGGCACAAGCCAUGAUCUCAUGGUUUGUGAGUUGGAGCCCCACAUCAAGCUCUGUGAUGGCAGCUCAGACCCUGGAGCUUGCUUCAGAUUGUGUCUCUCUCUCUGCCCCUCCCCCACUCAUGCCCUUUCUCUCAAAAGUGAAUGAAAGGUUAAAAAAAAAAAAAAGUAAAAAAAAAAAAAGAAGUUCCAGGAGUUAUAUAGAACUUUAACAGGUUUAAGCACACCAAUCUGAUUUAUUUUUAAAUUAGAAUGAGAAUUAACAAGAUUUUACUUUCCAGUCUAAAACAAUUUAGGUAUGCUCAUUGUAUAUAUUUGUCUGAAUUGUAUCCUAAUUUUAAGUAAGGAUAACAAGGACCAGAAGAUUGGGAGAUUACUGAAUUUGCUAGAGGUAGAAUAGUAUAGACUAACAAUUGCAAAUUCCUCUUACUGCUGUGCAACUUGGCCUCUAGCAGCUUCUUUUAAUCCCCUAUUCUCAUUCAACCUCAGAACAGUCCUGGUGAAAGGAUGGUAAAAAGGAAAGAGCAGAAGGCUUUUCUGAAAGAUUGAGUGUGCUACAGGAAUGUAGGAGAAGCUGUAAAAAUUAGCUCCCAGUGUGGGAACCUCUCAGGGAGAUAGCCCAAUGGCACAGUGUUAGGCCCUCUGGUGUUAGGAAGAGAUUUUCCCCCCAUCAUAUGUGCGCUUAGGGGCUAAGCAAAGAUAAUGGGAGCUUCCAACAAUCCCAGAUUUAGAGCACAACAUGUUGUUUUUCAACUUUUAUCUAUUUACUAAGAAGAAAACUGUUGAUUGACAUCCAGUGUUGUAAUCUAUGCCCUCUAACCUGGGUACUUUUUAGGACAGUGACUCUCAACAGCUCUACCUUGAGAAGUGAAACAAAAUUAUUUAUGAACUGUAACAAAUAGCGCUACAAAUAACAGAAGAUUGCACGUAAUCAACUUUUUAAAAAUAUGAAUUAAAGAAGAUUCAAAAUUAUCUAAUAAUCUUUUAUUCAUCCAUGUAAAAACAUUUUUUUAAAAAGGAAGUGCAAAGAGUGUGCAACAAUGGAAGAUAUGCCUGGCAAGUUCUGCUUUGGUGAUAGUAUAUCUCAGAAAAACACUCAGCUGGGAUGUGGCCAGAAGAAUGGCUGACACAGAGAUCUAUUCAAUAAACUUUUACUGAGGUGUUCAAUACAUGAAAGGACUCCUUGAAGGAUAUGCUCCAACAGUGUCCUGACUGCUGGCACUCUCUGAUUCCACAGCUGCUGGAGUGACUUAGCAGUUGGCUAGGCAUACCCUGAACUACAGAAGAUGUAUGCUGGGCCAGAAGCAGGCCUUCUUCCUGCAGACUUGGAAGGAGCUGAUGACAAAGGCCUGCCAACAGUGCUGUGACUACAGAGACAGAGCAUGAGCAGGGGAGGGGCAGAGAGAGAGAGGGAGACACAGAAUCUGAAGAUGGCUCCAGGCUCUGAGCUGUUAGCACAGAGCCUGACGCGGGGCUCAAACUCACAGACUGUGAGAUCGUGACCUGAGCUGAAGUCGGACACUUAACCGACUGAGCCAUUCAGGUGCCCCAACUCUAAUUGCUUAUUUUAAAAGUUUGGGUUUUGCUCUUGGGAUUACAUCAAAAUAAAAAGCUUUUUCACAGUUAAGGAAGCCAUCAACAAAACAAGAAGACAGCCCACUGAAUGAGAAAAGAUAUUUGCAAAUGAUACAUAUGUUAAGGGGUUAAUAUCCAAAAUAUGUAAAGAACUUACACAAACAACACCAAAAAAAAAAGAAAUACAAUUAAAAAAUGGACAGUAGCUAUGAGCAGGACAUUUUUCCAAAGAAGACAUACAGAUGGCCAACAGACACAUGGAGAGAUACUCAACAUCACCAAUCACCAGGGAAAUGCAAAUCAAAACCACAGUGAGAUAUCACUUUGUAUCUCUCAUAAUGGCUAGAAUAAACAAGAAAGAACAAGUGUUUGGCAAAGACGUGGAGAAAAAGGAACCCUCAUGCACUGUUGGUGGGAAUGCAAACUGGUGUAUCCACUGUGAAAACAGUAAGGAGGUUCCUCAAAAAAAUAAAAAUAGAAUUACCACAUGAUCCAGUAAAUUCCACUAUUAUUUACCCAAAGAAAAUAAAAACAUUAAUUUGAAAAGAUAUAUGCACCCCUGUGUUUAUUGCAGCAUUAUUCACAAUAGCCAGAUAGCUAUGGAAGCAACCCAAGUGUCUAUGCAUAGAUGAAUGGAUAAAGACUAUAUGGUGAAUUAUAUAUGUGAUGGAAUAUUACUCAUCCAUAGAACAGAAUGAGUCUUGCCAUUUGCAACAACAUGGAUGGAUUUAUAUAUGGUAUGGAUCAAAUAUAGAAUUUAAGAAACAAAAGAAAUGAACAAAGAAAAAAAAGAGACAAACAACACAGACUCUUAAAUAUAGAAAACAAACUGGUGUUUGCCAGGGGGGAUGGGCGAAUGGGUGAAAUUGUUGUAGGGGAUUAAGAGAACACUUACUGUGAUGAGCACUGAGCAAUGCAUAGAAUUAUUGAAUCACUGUACUGUAUACUUGAAACUAAUAUAGCACGGUAUAUUAAUUAUACUGGAAUUAAAAAAUAAUAAAUAAAGAUUUAAAAAAAAGUUUGGAUUUUGGUCAGAGUGAUGUUACCAAGAUGGUGACAUAGGUUUUUCUUGACUUUGCACCCCUCACAAGAACAACUAGCCACUGUUGAAGAACAAGACACCACUAAGAGAAUCCUAGAACAUGAGAGUAAGGCUGAAGCACCUCCUGCACUACAGAGACCAUGACAGAUUGUAGCAGAUUGCGUUAGGGGGUAAGAGAAUAGCUACAUGUUGACUACAUUGCUUCUCUUCUAGGCCAGCGCAGUACCAUACAGAGUGGUCUCUGCUGAGCAUCUCGUUCCUCCAGUGGGAAAAGAGAACCCAAAGGGGACAACCACUCCACCUGUCAGCAUUGUGAGUUUCUUUAUAGGAGCCCCUACUCUGAUCUCUCACCAUGGGGAGUGC